GUAAUAUUGAGCACGUAGGAAAUUGGGAGAGCACGAAAAACCGUUAAAUGAACUCAAUAUUUUAUUGGCAUCUCACUCGAUUGAAUAAUAAUAGUUGAAGGGUAUUGUAUAGAUAAAAAUUAUCGAGUGGAUAUUUAUAUAGAGAAUAAUACAUGGGUGCGCGGAAAUACAAGAUUCAUUUCGAGUGUUGAACAUGAUAUCUCACGAGUGAGCGCAGCGAACGAGUGAGAUAUCAUGUUCAACACGAGAAAUAAAUCUGGUAUUUCCAAGCACCCAUGUAUUUUUCUGUUUAUUAUAUAAAGGACAGUCUUUGAAAAGCGAUAAUUUUUACAGAAAAGCGAUAAUUGAAAAGCGAUAAUUUUCACAUGUGAGAUUAUCAUGAAUAAUCUCACAUGUGAGAUUAUCACUUUUAUCAGUGCUCAAAAUCUCUAUAAAGCACUAUACUUUAUAUAAUAAAUACAUUUAUUAGACCUAACGAGGAACAGCUGCGAAAAAUGCAACUUUAGGGACCGGUCAUUAUUUAUGGAAGGGGGUGGAGGAGAUUUUUUUCUUUCCUAAAUUUUUAAAAUUGAAAGCCCCCCCCCCUCUUAAAAGAGCAGAAAUUNNNNNNNNNNNNNNNNNNNNAUUUUUUUCUUUGACCCCCCCCCCCCAAUUUUCAUUUUCACUCGCCAAAUGGGGAUACCCAGGCGUUAUAGUGAUAUGGAACUGACAAGAUAUUAUCAUUAAAAGAGGAGUAUUUUCGUAUAUAACACGGCCAAGGCUGCAACUAGACUUGAUGGCCAAGGCUGCAACUAGACUUGAUGGCACGAAGUAUUGCCAUAGCAGCUGCGCAGCAACAAUGAGAGUAACAAUCAGUAAUAUUAGCAGCAAAAGGAGAUAGCCAUGACAAUUCUGCCAAGGCAUACCUCCGGCACCAGUCACACUGACAAGUCAAUGGAAACGAAAUACAAUGUAUAGUGGUCUGUACAUCCUAUUUUGUGUGAGAUUAAAAAUUAUAUAAAAUAAAAUGACAUACUACCAGAUAAAAUCCUCUAGAAUAAACACGGGUGAAUGAGUAGGGAAAAGGUAUCUAAGCGCUAAACUUGCUGCAGCUAGGCAAAGCAUACAGUGGCAGAAUGAAUAAUACCCAGACCGAAGCACUGAUCACAAGGCGUGAAACAACCCCUUUGAUCGACAUGACAUCACAGACUCCCCUCAGCGGAUGUGGCCUGCAUAAUACAUCCGCCGUUAACCUUGCUUAAUGAUUUAGUCA
rnacentral:lncRNA from 1 species